UGGUUCUGGCAUCGAUGAAGAACGCAGCGAAAUGCGAUAAGUAAUGUGAAUUGCAGAAUUUAGUGAAUCAUCGAAUCUUUGAACGCACAUUGCGCCCCUUGGUAUUCCGGGGGGCAUGCCUGUUCGAGCGUCAUUACAACCCUUAAGCCUAGCUUAGUGUUGGAGCCUGUCUCUAGACAGCUCUUAAAACUAGUGGUAGUGCCUUCUGGUUCUAAGCGUAGUAACUUUUCUCGCUACAGAGUCUGGAGGUGUUCUGCCAGAACCCUAACUUUCUAUGGUUGACCUCGGAUCAGGUAGGGAUACCCGCUGA
rnacentral:misc_RNA from 1 species